UACGUAGGGGGCAAGCGUUGUCCGGAUUCAUUGGGCGUAAAGCGCGCGUAGGCGGCUCGGUAAGUCCGUUGUGAAAGUCAAAGGCUCAACCUUUGAACGCCGAUGGAUACUGCCGGGCUAGAGUCCGGAAGAGGCGAGUGGAAUUCCUGGUGUAGCGGUGGAAUGCGCAGAUAUCAGGAGGAACACCAAUAGCGAAGGCAGCUCGCUGGGACGGUACUGACGCUGAGGCGCGAAAGCGUGGGGAGCGAACAGG
rnacentral:rRNA from 1 species